UUGCAUGCGCUGAUUGGCUGGUGCAGAAGAGGCGGUAAGCUGAGGGGGCCCUGAACUGGGAGCCGGCCCCAACCCAGUGCAGGGCGUGAAGUGGGAGCUGGCCUGAAAGUGGGAAAGGGCGUUAAACUGGAACGGAACCUCAUCUGGGCCAGGUGCUGAGUGAAAGUGGGCUGGAGCCUUGAAGUGGCUGGGAUGUUAAGUGGUACAGAGUCUGGGCUGGGCCUAGAGGCCUGGCCUGAGUUGUGACUUGAAGUGGUGCAGAGCCCUAAACUGGAAGAGCUGUCAGCUGGGCUGAGUCCUGAACUGGGCCAGGAGCUGAGCUGGGACCUGAGCCUAAACUGGGCUGGGACCUGAACUGGGACUGUUGAGAAAUUCUUUUACCAAACAAUGAUUAGCUUUGAAUGUAACAAGGCCUAUGAGUAAUUAACGUGCACGGAGAAGGUAUCCUGACCUUGAGAACAGAAACCUCCUGGCAGGAUUGCCCAAACAGGGUUGAUGAGGAAGAACAGCUUGGCCGGGCAACAGAGUUGGGAAACCUGCAAGGACAAGAAAUUGUCCUCAAGAGCAUAAAAGGGAAAAAGGAGUGGGGGGCUAACUCCCCAAACGACCACCGACGACCACGCGAGACCCCCACGCAUGCGCAGUGUAGUUUUGCAACGCCAGCGUUAUGUAAAUGUAGUAGGCAGAGAGGUGGAGAUUUCUCGUAAAAUGUAUGACUAUUCUUGUCUUAAGGUAUAUAAAGGACGAACUUUUGGUUUAGGGUAUGCACAACAGGCGGAGCUAUCCCCCGUGCAUCCGGUGCUGUAAUAAACAACGCCUGCUUUCUAAUACUAAAACGGAGUACUGGAGAGUUUAUUAUCCCAUAUUUGGUGACAGUUUCUGGUGACCCAGGUGGGACACUGCUUCUGAAUCUCGACGGAUCCACGGAAUCAUGGGACCUCUAACCGGCACCGAGGGAUUCUUGGGGAGAACCUGCGAUCCCCGGACCGAAGAGCUCCUAGCAAGACCCCCGGGAAGGACCCAGUGCAAACGGAACCGGAAAUUCUGCAGGAAAUAAAGGACGCAGUAGUCCCAUUGGUAUGGGCCAGUGGAACUCCGGGAAGGUCAUGAGCUGUGGAACCAGUAAAGAUUCGGUUAAAGCCGGGAGCUAAACCGGUUUCACAUGACUCUGGGAGUCCUCGACCAGCGUUUGGGACCCUGGAAGAGACUGGUGGGAUACUUUUCCAAACAGCUGGAUGACGUGAGUAAAGGCUGGCCGUCCUGCCUCCGGGCUGUAGCGGCGACGGUAUUGCUGAUUCAAGUGGCCCGGAAGUUCGCUAUGGGGUAACGGAUGACCGUGUACGUGCCCCGUAUGCUGACAGCAGUACUGGAGCAAAAGGAAAUCACUGGUUAUCACCGAGCAGAACGAUGAAAUAUCAAGCCAUCUUAUUGGAGAUGGAUGAUGGGAACCUAAAGGUAACAUCUAUGCUUAAUCUUGCAUUAUUUCUAUCCACCUUUUUGGAAGAUAGUGGGGAAAUAGAACGUGACUGUUUGCAAACAAUCGAACAGGUCUACUCUAGCCGAGAGGACCUGAAGGAUACCCCACUUGAACACCCUGGCUGGGAAUUCUAUACAGAUGGAAGCAGUUACAUGGAAAAAGGAAGACGGUUGGCAGGUUAUGUGGUGCUUUUACAGGAAAAGGUGAUUGAAGCAAAGGCUCUUCCACCUAACACCUCAGCACAGAAGGCGGAAUUAGUGGCACUAGAAAGGGCAUUAACACUCUCUCAAGGAAAGUGAGUAAAUAUUUGAACAGACCCCAAGUAUGCCUUUGGAGUGGUGCACGCUCAUGGAGCUCUCUGGAAAGAGAGAGGUUUAUCGUCAGCUCAAGGGUCCCCAUUAAAUACGGAGAAACUAUUGCAAAGCUCUUGGAGAGUGUCCAGUUACCGGCAGAGGUUGCAGUGAUGCACUGUAAGGCUCAUCAAUUCGGAAAUACCAAAAUCAAUGUGGGAAACAGGUUGGUGGAUCAGGCAGCUAAGGAAGCAGCUAAGGAAGCAGCUAAGGGGCGGGGGGGGGGGGGGCAUCUUUUGAUUGUCCCUAACAAACACAUUAACCUUCCCAAGGAUAGGCCGCAAUAUCAGGCAAAAUUUUAGACGGCCACCUAUGGGAGUCAUUGGAAAAGGGAAUAGUCCAGGAGAUUACUGGCAAAUAGAUUUUCUCUGAAUUGCCCCGUCACAGUGGUUACCGAUAUUUAUUAGUGCUAGUGGACACCUUUUCUGGAUGGCCGGAGGCUUUUCCCUGUUGCACCAACAAGGCUAGAGAAGUGGUAAAGGUAUUAAUGAAAGAAAUAAUUCCCAGAUUUGGAGUACCAAUAGGAAUGUCCUCUGAUAGGGGUCCCCGCUUUGUGGCCGAAAUCCUUCAAAAUUUGGCUCAUGUAUUAGGGAUACAGUGGGACCUGCACACUCCAUGGAGGCCACAAUCUAGUGGAAAGGUAGAAAGAAUGAAUCAGAGUUUGAAGAGAGAGAUAAGCAGGAUCUGUCAAGAAACUCGACUCCAAUGGCCCCAGGCCCUUCCACUAGCUUUGCUGAGAAUCAGAAUUAGACCCUCUUCUAAAGAGCAACUUAGUCCAUACGAGAUACUGUACGGAAAACCUUAUCAAGUGAUAAACUAUCCUGGAGAUUGGCAGGUCAAAGGAAAUCAGGAUUUAAAAGACUGUGUGAUGAGAAUGGGAAAGAUUCCUUCCUCGUUACAUAGAUCCAUGGUUCUUACUUGACCUCUGGCUUUGGAUACACACGUUCAUCCUUAGCAGCCUGGAGACUGGGUCUAUAUCAAGGUCUGGAAGGAGGAACCCCUUUCAGCAAAGAUGGAAAGGACCUUAUCAAGUGAUGUGAACUACUUUUACUGCUGUUAAGGUUGCAGGGAAGGAGUCCUGGAUCCAUUAUACUUGAGUAAAACCAGCAUCAGAGCCAAAAGAACCUCAGUGGAAGGUCACCUCAUCAGAUAAAGAUCCUUUCUGAACAAAAAAUUCAAAAAUCAACCUGAAAAUUAGCCAGUAAGCUGUAAGUGUUUUGGUUGGAAUAGCCGUGAUGUUAACUAACUGUUGAACUAACCAGGGCACAACUCACGACAACCUUUAUGAGGAGACGAAAAUCCGAUUGACUGAAGAGCUUAACGUGACAAAUUGUUGGAUAUGCUCGCAGACAAUGUUGGGAGGAACAGCGAUCCCUUUUAGCCCGAUCCCUUUACAAUGGCCAGAAUAUUGUAUUUUGCUAAAUUGGUCUAACCAAACAAAGCUAGAACAAGAGACUGUUAUUUUAGCAGCAGAGUUAGCAAUCAGUUGUACAAUAGAGAAAAACCAUAGUGCCAUCCUGUCUGGGUUACCUAAGCAAACCUUUGAGCCUAAGGUGAAUUAGACAGACAGACAGACCUCAUGCCAUCAAAUUAGGGCGUACAAAAGAUGGAUUCCUUUGUUACAAAGCAGCCAAAGUUGAUGCAAUUGGUGGUGGUUACUCUGGUGGCUUUAAUGCAGGUAACAGUAAAUGUAAAUUUUAUCUUACAGACACUCAAGCUGUUACUGUGCCACUUAGCAUUUGAAACAGUACAACAGGAGGAAAUCUUUCUUUUUGACACUCUCCUAUUACUUGUGAAAUGUGGAAAAAUGGAACUAAAACUUGAGUAGGAGGAUUUAAUGGUACAUAUUGGAUUUGUGGAAAAAGGCGUAGCGAUGGAUACCUGGGGGAUGGUACGUAUCCUGUUAUUUAGGUUUGUUAAUGCCCCCAUUUCAAGUACUACAACAACUUCCAUCAGGGUGGCCAUGUUGGAAAAGAGAGAUAAAAGUGGAAAAUAGACUUGUUGUAACAGAAGGGGAAAAAUUUUUCUAUACGCUAUGCCCCAUGUGUGCAGCCGCGACCUAUGGAACUAAGAUAAAUCAACUUAGCAAUUUGUUGAAGGAAGUAGCUAACGACACCGUUAAGGUAUUGAACAGUACAUCUUAUGAAAUGUCCUAAAAUAGAAUGGUGAGUCUACAAAAUCAUAUGGCCCUAGAUUAUCUGUUAGCUAGUCAAGGAGGAAUUUGUGCUCUUAUGGGACAAGAAUGUUGUACAUACAUAGAUGAUGGAUGGAAGACCCAACAGAAAGGAAUCAAUUUGAUUGAGAGGGCAGUGGAAGAGUGGGAGAAAGAAGAAAAAAAAAAAUAAUUGUUUUCAGAAUCGUAGUGGAAUUGGUUAACCUCAUGGCUACCAAACCUAACCUGGCUGAAGGAAUUGUUUGUAGUAAUCACAGCUAUAGUUGUUAUACGUAUGUUACGUUGUAUCACAAUUCAAUAUUUACCCUUAAUCACAUCCUGUUGUACCCAAUUGUGUAUACCUGAGAAUCAAAAAUGAUAUUCUCAAAAUUAUGCAAUCUAGGGGAGACUCCCAAAGAGAUCUUAUUUUGGAAGUCUCAAAAGGGGGGAAAUGUUGAGAAAUUCUUUUACCAAACAACGAUUAGCUUUGAAUGUAACAAGGCCUAUGAAUAAUUAACGUGUACGGAGAAGAUCUCUUGACCUUGAGAACAGAAACCUCCUGGCAGGAUUGCCCAGACAGGGUUGAUCAGGAAGAACAGCUUGGCCGGACAACAGAGUUGGGAAACAUCCAAGGAGAAGAAACUCUCCUCAAAGACUUGUGACCAUAAAAGGGAAAAAGGAGUGGGGGGCUAACUCCCCAAACGACCACCUGAGAACCCCACGCAUGCGUAAUGUAGUUUUGCAAUGCCAGCGUUAUGUAAAUGUAGUAGAUAGGCGGAGAGGUGGAGAUUUCUCGGAAAAUGUAUGACUACUCAUGUCGUAAGGUAUAUAAAGGAUGAACUUUUAUUUUAGUGUAUGCACGAUAGGUGGAGCUAUCCCCCGUGCAUCCGGCGUCGUAAUAAAGCAAUGCCUGCUUUCUAAUACUAAAACGGAGUAUUGGAGAGUUUAUUAUCCCAUAUUUGGUGACAGGGGCAGAGUGUGAGGAGUCCUGCCCUGAGGAGGAAGGAGCAGCAGAGACAAGGGGUGAUGAAGUGACCACAGCCCCCAUUCCCCAUCCCCCUGUGGUGCUGGGGGGGAGUAGGUAGAAUUGGGGAGUGAA